CAGCAGCCGCGGGAAUACAGAGGGUGCGAGCGUUAAUCGGAUUUACUGGGCGUAAAGCGUGCGUAGGCGGCUUUUUAAGUCGGAUGUGAAAUCCCUGAGCUUAACUUAGGAAUUGCAUUCGAUACUGGGAAGCUAGAGUAUGGGAGAGGAUGGUAGAAUUCCAGGUGUAGCGGUGAAAUGCGUAGAGAUCUGGAGGAAUACCGAUGGCGAAGGCAGCCAUCUGGCCUAAUACUGACGCUGAGGUACGAAAGCAUGGGGAGCAAACAGGAUUAGAUACCCCUGUAGUCCCUGUCUCUUUACA
rnacentral:rRNA from 1 species